AUAAUCUUGUUCUUGUAUGCUUCUUCAACAGGAAUACGUGUGGAUGGUGGGAGUGACUGGCUGUGUCUUAAUCGCAAUUUUGUUGAUUAUGUAGUAAACAGUCAGGAUCAGCUUGUGAUAGGCCUCAAAAAGGUUUAUUCAUAUACAUUAUUACCUGCUGAGUCGUUCUUUCAUACUGUGCUCCGCAACUCUCGAUUCUGCCAGACCUUCACAGAUAACAACCUUCAUGUAACUAACUGGAAAAGGAAACUUGGCUGCAAGUGCCAGUAUAAACAUAUAGUUGACUGGUGUGGAUGCUCACCUAAUGAUUUCAUUCCUGGAGAUUGGACUAAGCUUGAGGCUUCAGCAUCACGCAACCUUUUCUUUGCUCGCAAAUUUGAAGCAUUGAUCAGCCAGGCCAUUAUUAAUCAAGUGGAUUCAUGGCUGUACAAUCCCUAUUACUCUU